rnacentral:rRNA from 1 species
UACGUAGGGCGCAAGCGUUGUCCGGAAUUAUUGGGCGUAAAGAGCUCGUAGGCGGCUUGUCACGUCGGGUGUGAAAGCCCGGGGCUUAACCCCGGGUCUGCAUUCGAUACGGGCUAGCUAGAGUGUGGUAGGGGAGAUCGGAAUUCCUGGUGUAGCGGUGAAAUGCGCGGAUAUCAGGAGGAACACCGAUGGCGAAGGCAGGUCUCUGGGCCACUACUGACGCUGAGAAGCGAAAGCGUGGGGAGCGAACAGG